rnacentral:tRNA from 1 species
GAGGGUAUAGCUCAAGUGGUAGAGCACAUGCUUAACAUGCAUGAGGUCCUGGGUUCAAUCCCCAGUACCUCUA